rnacentral:rRNA from 1 species
UACAGAGGGGGCAAGCGUUGUUCGGAAUUACUGGGCGUAAAGGGCGCGUAGGCGGCCCGCUAAGUCGAACGUGAAAUCCCCAGGCUUAACCUGGGAACUGCGUCCGAUACUGGCAGGCUUGAAUCCGGGAGAGGGAUGUGGAAUUCCAGGUGUAGCGUGAAAUGCGUAGAUAUCUGGAGGAACACCGGUGGCGAAGGCGGCAUCCUGGACCCGGCAU